AUUGAACGCUGGCGGCAUGCCUUACACAUGCAAGUCGAACGGUAACGCGGGGCAGCCUGGCGACGAAUGGCGAACGGGUGAGUAAUGCAUCGGAACGUGCCCAGUAGUGGGGGAUAGCUUGGCGAAAGCCGUAUUAAUACCGCAUACGACCUACGGGUGAAAGCGGGGAACCGUAAGGCCUCGCGCUAUUGGAGCGGCCGAUGUACGAUUAGGUUGUUGGUGGGGUAAAGGCCUACCAAGCCGACGAUCUGUAGCUGGUCUGAGAGGGCGACCAGCCACACUGGGACUGAGACACGGCCCAGACUCCUACGGGAGGCAGCAGUGGGGAAUUUUGGACAAUGGGGGCAACCCUGAUCCAGCCAUUCCGCGUGCGGGAAGAAGGCCUUCGGGUUGCAAACCGCUUUUGUCAGGGAAGAAACGCUUCGAGCUAAUACCUCGAGGUAAUGACGGUACCUGAAGAAUAAGCACCGGCUAACUACGUGCCAGCAGCCGCGGUAACAC
rnacentral:rRNA from 1 species